rnacentral:rRNA from 1 species
UACAGGGGGUGCAAACGUUGCUCGGAAUCAUUGGGCGUAAAGCGCACGUAGGCGGCUUUCUAAGUCGGGGGUGAAAGCCUGUGGCUCAACCACAGAAUUGCCUUCGAUACUGCAUGGCUUGAGACCGGAAGAGGUUAGUGGAACUGCGAGUGUAGAGGUGAAAUUCGUAGAUAUUCGCAAGAACACCAGUGGCGAAGGCGGCUGACUGGUCCGGUUCUGACGCUGAGGCGCGAAAGCGUGGGGAGCAAACAGG